GGUUUAAUUCGAUGAUACGCGAGGAACCUUACCUGGGCUCGAACGUAAGAUGACUGUAGGUGAAAGCUUACAUCUCUUCGGAGCAUUUUACGAGGUGCUGCAUGGUUGUCGUCAGCUCGUGCCCGUGAGGUGUCGGGUUAAGUCCCAUAACGAGCGCAACCCCUACCUUUAGUUGCCAUCAGGUAAUGCUGGGGACUCUAAAGGAACUGCCUACGCAAGUAGUGAGGAAGGCGGGGAUGACGUCAAAUCAGCACGGCCCUUACGUCCAGGGCUACACACGUGCUACAAUGGCCGAUACAGAGGGCAGCUACCUGGUGACAGGAUGCAAAUCUCCAAAGUCGGUCUCAGUUCGGAUCGGAGUCUGCAACCCGACUCCGUGAAGUUGGAUUCGCUAGUAAUCGCGCAUCAGCCAUGGCGCGGUGAAUACGUUCCCGGGCCUU
rnacentral:rRNA from 1 species